rnacentral:rRNA from 1 species
GUUGUAUGGUUAAGUGACUAAGCGUACACGGUGGAUGCCUUGGCAGUCAGAGGCGAUGAAGGACGUAGUAACUUGCGAUAAGCGUAGAUGAGGCAGUAACAGCCACUUGAGUCUACGAUUUCCGAAUGGGGAAACCCACUGGCAUAAGCCAGUAUCAUUGAGUGAAUACAUAGCUCAAUGAAGCGAACCGGGAGAACUGAAACAUCUAAGUACCCCGAGGAAAAGAAAUCAACCGAGAUUCCGAAAGUAGCGGCGAGCGAAAUUGGAUUAGCCCUUAAGCUUUACAUGUGUUAGACGAACGGUCUGGAAAGUCCGACGAUACAGGGUGAUAGUCCCGUAGUUGACGAUGCAUGUUCAGUGAAAUCGAGUAGGGCGGGACACGUGUUAUCCUGUCUGAAUAUGGGGGGACCAUCCUCCAAGGCUAAAUACUCCUGACUGACCGAUAGUGAACCAGUACCGUGAGGGAAAGGCGAAAAGAACCCCUGUGAGGGGAGUGAAAUAGAACCUGAAACCGUGUACGUACAAGCAGUAGGAGCACCUUCGUGGUGUGACUGCGUACCUUUUGUAUAAUGGGUCAGCGACUUAUAUUCAGUGGCAAGGUUAACCAUCUAGGGGAGCCGUAGGGAAACCGAGUCUUAACUGGGCGUCAUAGUCUCUGGAUAUAGACCCGAAACCGAGUGAUCUAGCCAUGGGCAGGUUGAAGGUUGAGUAACAUCAACUGGAGGACCGAACCGACUAAUGUUGAAAAAUUAGCGGAUGACUUGUGGCUAGGGGUGAAAGGCCAAUCAAACUCGGAGAUAGCUGGUUCUCCCCGAAAGCUAUUUAGGUAGCGCCUCGGACGAAUACUACUGGGGGUAGAGCACUGUUAAGGCUAGGGGGUCAUCCCGACUUACCAACCCUUUGCAAACUCCGAAUACCAGUAAGUACUAUCCGGGAGACACACGGCGGGUGCUAACGUCCGUCGUGGAGAGGGAAACAACCCAGACCGCCAGCUAAGGUCCCAAAUUACAGCUAAGUGGGAAACGAUGUGGGAAGGCUUAGACAGCUAGGAUGUUGGCUUAGAAGCAGCCAUCAUUUAAAGAAAGCGUAAUAGCUCACUAGUCGAGUCGGCCUGCGCGGAAGAUGUAACGGGGCUAAGUUGUAAACCGAAGCUGCGGCAAUGUUCU